rnacentral:rRNA from 1 species
UACGUAGGUGGCAAGCGUUGUCCGGAAUUAUUGGGCGUAAAGCGCGCGCAGGUGGUUUCUUAAGUCUGAUGUGAAAGCCCACGGCUCAACCGUGGAGGGUCAUUGGAAACUGGGGAACUUGAGUGCAGAAGAGGAAAGUGGAAUUCCAAGUGUAGCGGUGAAAUGCGUAGAGAUUUGGAGGAACACCAGUGGCGAAGGCGGCUUUCUGGGCCUUACCUGACGCUGAGACGCGAAAGCGUGGGGAGCGAACCGG